GACGAACGCUGGCGGCGUGCCUAAUACAUGCAAGUAGAGCGCACAGUUUAUACCGUAGCUUGCUACACCAUAGACUGUGAGUUGCGAACGGGUGAGUAACGCGUAGGUAACCUGCCUGGUAGCGGGGGAUAACUAUUGGAAACGAUAGCUAAUACCGCAUAAUAUUGAUUAUUGCAUGAUAAUUGAUUGAAAGAUGCUAUUGCAUCACUACCAGAUGGACCUGCGUUGUAUUAGCUAGUAGGUGAGGUAACGGCUCACCUAGGCGACGAUACAUAGCCGACCUGAGAGGGUGAUCGGCCACACUGGGACUGAGACACGGCCCAGACUCCUACGGGAGGCAGCAGUAGGGAAUCUUCGGCAAUGGACGAAAGUCUGACCGAGCAACGCCGCGUGAGUGAAGAAGGGUUUCGGAUCGUAAAGCUCUGUUGUAAGAGAAGAACGGGUGUGAGAGUGGAAAGUUCACACUGUGACGGUAGCUUACCAGAAAGGGACGGCUAACUACGUG
rnacentral:rRNA from 1 species